rnacentral:rRNA from 1 species
GUACACUCCUACGGGAGGCAGCAGUGGGGAAUUUUGGACAAUGGGCGAAAGCCUGAUCCAGCAAUGCCGCGUGAGUGAAGAAGGCCUUCGGGUUGUAAAGCUCUUUUGUCAGGGAAGAAACGGUGAAAGCUAAUAUCUUUUGCUAAUGACGGUACCUGAAGAAUAAGCACCGGCUAACUACGUGCCAGCAGCCGCGGUAAUACGUAGGGUGCAAGCGUUAAUCGGAAUUACUGGGCGUAAAGCGUGCGCAGGCGGUUUUGUAAGUCUGAUGUGAAAUCCCCGGGCUCAACCUGGGAAUUGCAUUGGAGACUGCAAGGCUAGAAUCUGGCAGAGGGGGGUAGAAUUCCACGUGUAGCAGUGAAAUGCGUAGAUAUGUGGAGGAACACCGAUGGCGAAGGCAGCCCCCUGGGUCAAGAUUGACGCUCAUGCACGAAAGCGUGGGGAGCAAACAGGAUUAGAUACCCCUGUAGUCCCA